rnacentral:misc_RNA from 1 species
UCACACGCAUACUGCAUACACAACACAGAGCAUCAGAAGGAGCUACGAUCUGAUCGACAUGGCUGCCGCCACCAUGGCUAUCACCUCCCGCGCGCUCGUCGGCAAGCCGGCGGCUGGCACGAGGGACGUCUUCGGCGAGGGCCGCAUCACCAUGCGCAAGACCGCCGCCAAGCCCAAGCCGGCGGCCUCCGGCAGCCCCUGGUACGGUGCCGACCGCGUCCUGUACCUGGGCCCGCUGUCCGGCUCACCUCCGAGCUACCUGACCGGCGAGUUCCCCGGCGACUACGGGUGGGACACCGCGGGGCUGUCGGCGGACCCGGAGACCUUCGCCAAGAACCGCGAGCUGGAGGUGAUCCACUGCCGCUGGGCCAUGCUCGGCGCGCUCGGGUGCGUGUUCCCGGAGCUGCUCGCCCGCAACGGCGUCAAGUUCGGCGAGGCGGUGUGGUUCAAGGCGGGCUCCCAGAUCUUCAGCGAGGGCGGGCUCGACUACCUCGGCAACCCGAGCCUUGUCCACGCGCAGAGCAUCCUGGCUAUCUGGGCGUGCCAGGUGGUGCUCAUGGGCGCCGUCGAGGGGUACCGCGUCGCCGGCGGCCCGCUCGGGGAGGUGGUCGACCCGCUGUACCCUGGCGGCAGCUUCGACCCGCUCGGGCUCGCCGACGACCCGGAGGCGUUCGCCGAGCUCAAGGUGAAGGAGAUCAAGAACGGCCGCCUCGCCAUGUUCUCCAUGUUCGGCUUCUUCGUGCAGGCUAUCGUCACCGGCAAGGGCCCCAUCGAGAACCUCGCCGACCACCUCACCGACCCCGUCAACAACAACGCCUGGGCUUACGCCACCAACUUCGUCCCCGGCAAGUGAGCGAGGGCAUGAUGCUUGCAUGCGUGUACCGUAGACGUACGUAUUCCUACGUACUGCAGGUUGCACCAGUAUUUGUGAAGGGAGCUUUGGGAGCCAGAGAUUGUACCGCUAGUGUA